rnacentral:rRNA from 1 species
AGAGUUUGAUCAUGGCUCAGAACGAACGCUGGCGGCGUGCUUAACACAUGCAAGUCGAACGAGAAAGUUUCCUUCGGGAAACGAGUAGAGUGGCGCACGGGUGAGUAACGCGUAGGUAAUCUACCCUUAUACCUGGGAUAACAUUGGGAAACUGGUGCUAAUACCGGAUGGUCUUCUUUGCUGCGGGGCAGAGGAGUAAAGGUGGCCUCUUCAUGAAAGCUACCGUACAGGGAUGAGCCUGCGUACCAUUAGCUAGUAGGCGGGGUAACGGCCCACCUAGGCAACGAUGGUUAGCGGGUCUGAGAGGAUGAUCCGCCACACUGGAACUGGAACACGGACCAGACUCCUACGGGAGGCAGCAGUGAGGAAUAUUGCGCAAUGGGGGAAACCCUGACGCAGCGACGCCGCGUGAGUGAGGAAGGUUUUCGGAUCGUAAAGCUCUGUCAGAAGGGAAGAAAUGCUAGGCAGUUAAUACCUGUUUAGUUUGACGGUACCUUCAGAGGAAGCACCGGCUAACUCCGUGCCAGCAGCCGCGGUAAUACGGAGGGUGCAAGCGUUGUUCGGAAUUACUGGGCGUAAAGGGCGCGUAGGCGGCCCGAUAAGUCAGGUGUGAAAGUCCACGGCUCAACCGUGGAAGUGCAUUUGAAACUGUCAGGCUUGAGUAUCGGAGGGGAGUGUGGAAUUCCCGGUGUAGAGGUGAAAUUCGUAGAGAUCGGGAGGAACACCGGUGGCGAAGGCGACACUCUGGACGAAUACUGACGCUGAGGCGCGAAAGCGUGGGGAGCAAACAGGAUUAGAUACCCUGGUAGUCCACGCCGUAAACGAUGUGAACUAGGGAUAGGGGGUGUUGAUCCCUCCUGUCCCGCAGCUAACGCAUUAAGUUCACCGCCUGGGGAGUACGGUCGCAAGAUUAAAACUCAAAGGAAUUGACGGGG